AACGCACGCUAGUGGGCAGCAGCACAUGAGAAAUCAAAGUCUUUGGGUUCCGGGGGGAGUAUGGUCGCAAGGCUGAAACUUAAAGGAAUUGACGGAAGGGCACCACCAGGAGUGGAGCCUGCGGCUUAAUUUGACUCAACACGGGAAAACUUACCAGGUCCAGACAUAGGAAGGAUUGACAGAUUGAGA
rnacentral:rRNA from 1 species